rnacentral:ncRNA from 1 species
CCACAUACACGCGGGAGCUCGGGCGAACCGGGCUGAGAGGACGGCUGGCGCCGUCGACCGCCGAACCUGUCCGGGUAAUGCCGACGUAGGGAGCGCCGCCAUGACGGCU